UACGGAAGAUGCGAGCGUUAUCCGGAUUUAUUGGGUUUAAAGGGAGCGUAGGCGGCCUUUUAAGUCAGCGGUUAAAUGUCAGCGCCCAACGUUGGCAUGCCGUUGAAACUGGGGGGCUUGAAUACACACAAGGAUGGUGGAAUUCGUCGUGUAGCGGUGAAAUGCUUAGAUAUGACGAAGAACUCCGAUUGCGAAGGCAGCCAUCUGGGGUGCGAUUGACGCUGAGGCUCGAAAGUGCGGGAAUCAAACA
rnacentral:rRNA from 1 species